ACUCCUACGGGAGGCAGCAGUGGGGAAUUUUGGACAAUGGGGGCAACCCUGAUCCAGCCAUUCCGCGUGAGUGAAGAAGGCCUUCGGGUUGUAAAGCUCUUUCAGCUGGAGUGAAACGGUACGCUCUAACAUAGCGUGCUAAUGACGGUACCAGCAGAAGAAGCACCGGCUAACUACGUGCCAGCAGCCGCGGUAAUACGUAGGGUGCGAGCGUUAAUCGGAAUUACUGGGCGUAAAGCGUGCG
rnacentral:rRNA from 1 species